rnacentral:lncRNA from 1 species
AAUUCACAAAACUAAGACCAUUUCCUUUAAUUAAUAAUGAUAAAGCAUAAGCAAAACCAAUAAUUAUAUAAAACAGUAGCAAUAUUUGAUAAAGUUGUAAUACGGCCCAAACAUAGCUAAUAUCUUACAAACCCUAAUACUAGGUGACACAAGUACACGAGUAAAUUAAAAAUGAGGGCAAGUCUAUGUAUACAAAUAAUAAAAGAAACAGGGACUCGGGAACACCAGAGUAGAUACAUGAAGCUCAACUCACCCUAUGUCUCCGUGAAAUUUCUUAGCUCAAUCAGGGAGCUAUAUGAGUAUCCACAUGAGGAUCUGCACAAAAAAAUAUGCAGAAGCAUACUAUGACUACACCACAAUCGUUACCAAGUCAGUAUUAAGUGUGACCUCGAUGAAGUAGUAAUCAGUCCAGAUGCUUCAGAAUACUUACCAUACUGAUAUAAUAACAAAAUUAAGAAAUGAACAGUAGAUAAAGUCACGACUGCCAAGAAUCACAUAUAGUAAUAGUUGAAAUAUGAGGCAUGCUCUUCUAAUUUAGAAAAAAUCAUAACGCUACUCAAAGUACGAUAUUAAAAGCUCAAAUAACAUAGUUGGGACUCCUAACCAACAUAUAAGGAUGUCAAAUAACUAUCAAAAAUGAAAGAGGUACUACUAAAUGAGUCACUAAUAUGAACGCAUGCUCAAAAUGGUACAAGAUCCAUGUACUACUAAAUGAGACACUAAUAUGAAUGCAUGCUCAAAAUGGUACAAGAUUCAUGUACCCCGAUAUAUAUGUAUCAGCAUAACCCGAUACAAAAUCUAUAUAUCGACCCGGUAUAAAAUUCAUAUACCGAUCAUGCUCACAGGUCCCAAAAUAACAUGGUUAUCACCUAACUCUGGAGGGUUAGAUCCAAAUUAUAUAUGUUCAAGAAUUAUAGAUAAAAGUACAUAAGGACUUAACAAAUAUCAUACAAAAAUGUGCUCAUGAAAUUUGUAUGUGACUGUGGAUAAUUAUGCAAUUCAACAUAUCAAAAAUGAGUUGGCAUGCCUUCACAAUUGAAACAAGGAGCCCAAUUCUACCCGGGUCAUGAUAUAAACUCGAUAAAUGCAUAUACACUCACUACUAUAUAUAUACACUACCCCCAAAACUUUAAACUCAUAAAAAACAAGUCAAAUCUAGGGAUUUCCAUCUAAACAAGGUUAGCCAAGAGACUACCCCGACUUGGUAAUCUUAAAAUCAUCAAAAGUGCCAAAUACUUAAAAAUUCAACUCCAAACGGCUCAAAUCUAAUCAAAUACAACCCAAUAAUAUCAAACAAAACCAUAUAAAUCUAAACAAUUCAUUAAAGGUAAAAUCUUUAAUUAAAUACACAAAGUCAACCAAAAAGUCAAACCAGUGACGCUUCCCAGAGCCCGACAAAAUUUAAUAAUAACGAACACCCAUUUCGAUACGAGUCCAAACUUAGAACCAAAUGUCCGAUUCAAGCCUAAUCAAUAAGAAUUAAUCCCAAACUUUGCAUACAAGUCCCAAAUAACAAAACAAUCAUAUUCCAAGUUCUAGAACAAAAAUCUAAAUCUGAUAACCUCGAAAUCAAUCCUUGGUCACACCUGUGAACUCUCUGUCACACCUCCUUUUUCGUACCCCAAAAGGGUAUAAGGGAAUUUUUUCCAAUUUAAGUGACAAUCGAAACGUGAUUAUUUUACUAAAAAUUCAGCGUCGCCACUUGUGAUAAUUUAUGGCGUCCCAAGUCACCGGUUCAAAUCCCGAAUCAAGGAAAAGAUUGAUCUGUUUCACAGUUCGCGAACACAGAAAUCCAGGUAAGAAAUUAUAUUAACCCGGGAGAAGACGUUAGGCAUUCCUGUGUUCCGUGGUUUUAGCACGGUUAGUCAACUAUUAUUAUUGGCCUAUUAUCUGAUUUUAAAACACUUUUAUUCCUAUGUGCAUUUUUAAUUUUAAAACUACUUUUAUUUAUUUAAAGGAAGAUUUCAAUUUCAUAUAAAAUACAUCUUUGGACCACGCCACAUGAAAUGCACCAGCAGUCCGAGACAUAUUUUAUUUAACGUUGUUAGAAUUCGGAUUAGGAUCUCAUAAAAUGUACAUCCGAGUUUAAGAAAGUUAAAUUAAAUUACGCGCCUAACAACUACACACUUUCAAGUUUGCAAGGGCCAUGGAAAGUUCGCUAAUGGCACACCUCGAUUUCGAAAGGAUUAUAAUUAAUUAUCCGAGUGAAUCGAUUACUAAAUGGCACACCUCAAUUUCACAAAAACAAAUGCGAACCCACAAGUAAAAAUACCAAACCAAUCUCGUUCUCAACCCCAGUGAUUUGCUAACCAAAUUGUGCUCAAGGCUCUUAGUUGUUGAUAAGUAAGGCUACAAAUUUUAAUUUAAUGCCAUCUCGUAAUUGUGAUACUGCAGGAUCCAACAAUAAUAUUGUAAUUAAUCAGUAAACAAACAUAAAUCGCCGACUAGAAGGAAGAAAUCAAAUUAACCAUAGACAAAAGAUUUCACUUGUUCAAAAUAAACAACAUUCCAAAUUAUCAAGCUGGAACCCUCCAUUAACACCUAGCUAAAGUUACACCAACAUUUCCUCAGUGUUUAGACAGCCGAGGUUUCAUUAAGGAAAUAAACGAAAGUAGCACUGAAUAAACCACAAGCAGCAAAAGAGACGAACACAAAGUAAACUUCCAUGUAAUUCAAUUCUUUACGGAAUGAAUCACAUAAGAAAAACACCUGAAACAGAGGGAGAAGAAAGGAUAAACCUAGAUUAAUCUGAAACUUAAUUGACUUACAGUCUGAAAAUGCUAAUCGACGGAAUAAACAUGACCGCAAGCAAGAUCUAUGCAGGAAAAUCUCGCUGGAAUCUUGAACGGAACUGAACAGACCCAACGAACUGAGCUAGCGACAUGAACGGGCUUUAACGGGAGUCGAUCUCAACAGAAAUGUUACGCUAAAUGGAACAACGAACUUGAAACUCAGUCGACAACCUCAAACGAACUCUCCACGAGCUUUAAAUUAACUCCAUUGAAGAAACAAACUUCCGUCUCCAGUUUCCGGCCAUUUCCGGUGGUGAAGGAGUUCAGUCGAGGAAGAAGAAGCAGCUGAUGUCCUAGGUCUAUGAGACUGAGGCUUAAAGCUCUAGGAUUUUGUUCAAGAACCAGAGCUCAUGGGUUCGUCGUUUAGGCUUCAGCUGAAACCAUAAAAAAUGGCCAAGAAGAAGCUGCCAUCACCGGAGACGAGUUCAGGGGUCGAAUUUGUUAGUUCCUGCGGCGCUAGCUUUUUGAUUUCCGUCCAUCUUCGGUUGCGUGUGCGUGUGUUAUUCAGCGGCUGCAAUCCAUGAAGAAGAUGAGGGAAUUCAGAUGGAGAAGGGGUCGUUUAUGGCUGCUCAUUCUUGUGAGAAGAUGGGGGUGAGGACGAUGAAAAAUACAGGGGGGUCUGUGUUGUGUUAAAAAGGGCGCAGCUCCGGAGGGGUAUAGGUCUAGCUCUAGGUCUAGGAUAUAGGCGUUACCCUAUGGUCUGAUUUUGAGCUUUUCUUUCUUUCUUUCUUUCUUUCUUUUUUUUUGCUUUUUCAGC